CAGGGGAACUGGACUGGAACAUUUUGUAGAAUAACCUUUAUUUCUAUCAGAUAGAAGAAAGGACUACACAUAUUUUUUCUUCAAAAUAUUUAAAUGUUUUAGAAAUGAAUAAUAUCAGGAAAAGUAAACCAGGGAGGCAGCUAGGUGUAGACUUCACCACAGGGGGUGUCUUACAUGUGCCUUUAUUUCUGUCUUAGUAAUCAUUCUAGAAAUGACUCACCAAGCUCUCAAGCCUCAGAGCACCACCAAGCAGACAGCUGCUAGCUUCCUGCAUCAACAGGACCAAGGACUACUGUGGUCCCAGAGGUAACUGACUCUGGUGGGAAGGAACUGUAUUGGACUCUGCCAAGGGGACCUUCUGGAUGAAUGAGGAACUGGGGUACUAUGCUGACAGACUCCCACCUCCUGCUGCUGCGCUCACCUACCUUGGAGAUCCCUGAAAUUAUGAUGGUGCUUUUCUUCCGUGGGGACUUCAGUUUCAGCUUUGAGGACUCGCUGAGCUGCCGAAUGGCAACUUCAGCCACAGGAUCUGAGCUGUUCAGUACCAACAGUUCUGCCAGAAAGAAGGUAGCACUGAGUUCAGUAGCAAACUUAACAAGCUCCAAGCAAAGCCCCAGAACAGGGGGCAGGAUAGUCUAUAAGCAGUGGUCGGCAGGCAUUUGGAAGAAGGAGGGAGAAAGUAAGUUGGGGUUUUUUUCCCAACUUAUCUCCGCAUAAAGUAGAAGCAGACAGGAGCCACAUGUAAAUGAACAGGCAAGGCCUGGUUCUGGUAAAACUUUAUUUUCGGAAAC
rnacentral:lncRNA from 1 species